GAGUUUGAUCCUGGCUCAGGAUGAACGCUAGCGGCAGGCCUAAUACAUGCAAGUCGAGGGGCAGCGCGGGUAGCAAUACCUGGCGGCGACCGGCGCACGGGUGCGUAACACGUAUACAAUCUGCCUUUAACAGGGGGAUAGCCCGGAGAAAUCCGGAUUAAUACCCCAUAAUAUAUUGAGUGGCAUCACUUGAUAUUGAAAGCUCCGGCGGUUAGAGAUGAGUAUGCGCCUGAUUAGUUAGUUGGUGAGGUAACGGCUCACCAAGACUUCGAUCAGUAGGGGAUCUGAGAGGACUACCCCCCACACGGAUACUGAGACACGGAUCCGACUCCUACGGGAGGCAGCAGUAAGGAAUAUUGGACAAUGCCCGCAAGGGUGAUCCAGCCAUGCCGCGUGCAGGAGACGGCCCUAUGGGUUGUAAACUGCUUUUACACCGGAGAAAACCCCUUCUCGUGAGGAGGCUGAUAGUAUGGUGAGAAUAAGCAUCGGCUAAC
rnacentral:rRNA from 1 species